rnacentral:misc_RNA from 1 species
AAGUCGUAACAAGGUUUUCCGUAGGUGAACCUGCGGAAGGAUCAUUAAAGAAGUUGUCCUGCACCCCUCUGGGGAUGAGGUCUACGGGUGAGGCUCGGGAGUUAAACCCCCGGGUUCCCCGUCUCUUCCGCCCUGUGUAAUACCUUCCACGUUGCUUUGGCGGGCCUUGGGUACGUCCUUUCAUGGGCACCCUGCCGGCGUCGGACUUCGUCCCCGCCGGCGAGCGCCCGCCAGAGACCCUUACCAUUCUGAUUUUUUUCAAUGUCGUCUUGAGCAAAACACAAAAUAAAAUAAAA